GAUGAAGAACGCAGCGAAAUGCGAUAAGUAAUGUGAAUUGCAGAAUUCAGUGAAUCAUAGAAUCUUUGAACGCACCUUGCGCUCCUUGGUAUUCCGAGGAGCAUGCCUGUUUGAGUGUCAUUAAUAUAUCAACCUCUUCAGCUUAUGCUUGUUGAGUGUUGGAUGGUGGGGGUUUGCUGGUGUCUUAUGAAGUCAGCUCCUCUGAAAUGCAUUAGCGGAACAAUUUGUUGACCGUUCAUUGGUGUGAUAAAAAUAUCUACGCUAUUGACGUCAGUCAGUUCAGCUUCUAACAGUCCAUUGACUUGGACAAAUUUUUCAUUAAUGUGACCUCAAAUCAGGUAGGACUACCCGCUGAACUUAAGCAUAUCAAUAAGCGGAGGA
rnacentral:misc_RNA from 1 species